AUGGAGGCCGGGAGCAGCAAGGCCAGGCUGGCGGUGGCGUGCGCGAUCGGCGGAAUCGUGCUGGGCGCGGCCGUCGUGGCGCUCCACGUCGCCGGGCCCGUGGCCGUCCCGGGCCUGCCCCCGCUCGACGCGCUGCGCCGCCGGUUCCGCCGUCGCCGCCGCCCCGUGCGCGUCUACAUGGACGGCUGCUUCGACAUGAUGCACUACGGCCACUGCAACGCGCUGCGCCAGGCGCGCGCGCUCGGCGACCAGCUCGUCGUCGGCGUCGUCAGCGACGACGAGAUCACCGCUAACAAGGGGCCGCCCGUCACGCCGCUCAACGAGAGAAUGGUGAUGGUGGGCGCAGUGAAAUGGGUGGAUGAUGUCAUUCCAGACGCGCCGUAUGCCAUAACUGAAGACUUCAUGAACAAGCUAUUCACUGAGUAUAAUAUAGAUUACAUCAUCCAUGGCGAUGAUCCUUGUCUGCUCCCAGAUGGCACCGACGCAUAUGCCCUUGCCAAAAAUGCUGGCAGAUAUAAGCAGAUUAAAAGAACUGAGGGAGUGUCUACAACAGACAUUGUCGGAAGAAUGCUUCUUUGUGUUAGAGAGAGAUCAGUUUCUGAUAGGCACAACCACUCUUCACUACAGAGGCAGUUCAGUUCUGGGCAUGGUCAGAAGAUUGACGAUAGUGGGUCUGGAAGUGGAACUAGAAUAUCUCAUUUUCUUCCUACAUCUCGGCGGAUAGUUCAGUUCUCAAAUAGCAGGGGUCCAGGACCAGAUUCUCGGAUAGUUUACAUAGAUGGUGCAUUUGAUCUGUUCCAUGCUGGGCAUGUUGAGAUAUUGCGACUUGCUCGAGGGCUUGGAGAUUUCUUGCUUGUUGGUAUUCACACGGAUCAGACCAUAAGUUCUACACGAGGACCACAUCGCCCAAUCAUGAAUCUUCAUGAGCGAAGUUUGAGUGUCCUAGCCUGCCGUUAUGUUGAUGAAGUAAUCAUUGGUGCUCCAUGGGACAUUUCAAAAGACAUGAUUACAACAUUUAAUAUUUCAUUAGUCGUUCAAGGAACAAUUGCUGAGAACAUGGAUUUUGCAAAGGACGAGUCACAUCCAUAUGCUGUCCCAAUGGAUAUGGGUAUUUUCCGCAGAUUGGAAAGCCCUUUGGAUAUCACUACUAGUACUAUUAUAAGGAGGAUAGUUUCUAACCAUGAAGCCUACCAGAAGCGGAAUGAAAAGAAGGAAGCCAGUGAGAAGAAGUACUACGAGAGUAAAAACUUUGUCAAUGGAGAGUAG
rnacentral:rRNA from 1 species